rnacentral:lncRNA from 1 species
AUCUGAAGCCUAAAUCAGAUCUGAUCUGAGAAUCCCAUGCCUCUUUUCAAAUUCAAAGCAAUCAUGGUGUGACCGCUAGCCCCACAGUAGAUAAGAGAGGCAUAACUACCACGUCCUAAGAAUCCCACCCAAAAUCUCACCAUGCUGUGUCCGAACCGAUCGAGAUGGAUCAAAAAUAUCACCUCUAAAUGGCUCUCACCUCUAUUUAUAAAUAGAGAUCUCA